rnacentral:rRNA from 1 species
UACGGAGGAUGUCAGCAGUGUUCGGUUCGAUUUGGUUUGGUUAAAAGGGGUGCGUAGGCGGCCCCUGUAAGUCAGUGGUGAAAAUACUGCAGCUUAACUGUAGCAUUGCCAUUGAUACUGUAGGGCUUGAGUACAGAUGAGGUAGGCGGAAUUGAUGGUGUAGCGGUGAAAUGCAUAGAUACCAUCAAGAACACCGAUUGCGAAGGCAGCUUACUAAGCUGUAACUGACGCUGAGGCACGAAAGCGUGGGGAUCGAACAGG